rnacentral:rRNA from 1 species
UACGAAGGGGGCUAGCGUUGCUCGGAAUCACUGGGCGUAAAGCGCACGUAGGCGGAUCGCUAAGUCAGGGGUGAAAUCCUGGAGCUCAACUCCAGAACUGCCUUUGAUACUGGCGAUCUCGAGUUCGGGAGAGGUGAGUGGAACUGCGAGUGUAGAGGUGAAAUUCGUAGAUAUUCGCAAGAACACCAGUGGCGAAGGCGGCUCACUGGCCCGAUACUGACGCUGAGGUGCGAAAGCGUGGGGAGCAAACAGG